rnacentral:rRNA from 1 species
AUUAUGGCUCAGGACGAACGCUGGCGGCGUGCCUAACACAUGCAAGUCGAGCGGAGACAGUGAGUAGCUUGCUAUGAGCUGUUUUAGCGGCGGACGGGUGAGUAACGCGUGAGCAACCUUUCCCAGACAGGGGAAUAACACACCGAAAGGUGUACUAAUACCGCAUAAGACCACGGGAUCACAUGGUUCUGAGGUAAAAGAUUUAUCGGUUUGGGGUGGGCUCGCGUCCGAUUAGGUAGUUGGUGAGGUAACGGCCCACCAAGCCGACGAUCGGUAGCCGACCUGAGAGGGUGAUCGGCCACAUUGGGACUGAGACACGGCCCAAACUCCUACGGGAGGCAGCAGUGGGGAAUAUUGGGCAAUGGAGGAAACUCUGACCCAGCAACGCCGCGUGGAGGAAGAAGGUUUUCGGAUCGUAAACUCCUGUCCUUGGAGACGAGUAGAAGACGGUAUCCAAGGAGGAAGCCCCGGCUAACUACGUGCCAGCAGCCGCGGUAAUACGUAGGGGGCAAGCGUUGUCCGGAAUAAUUGGGCGUAAAGGGCGCGUAGGCGGCUCGGUAAGUCUGGAGUGAAAGUCCUGCUUUUAAGGUGGGAAUUGCUUUGGAUACUGUCGGGCUUGAGUGCAGGAGAGGUUAGUGGAAUUCCCAGUGUAGCGGUGAAAUGCGUAGAGAUUGGGAGGAACACCAGUGGCGAAGGCGACUAACUGGACUGUAACUGACGCUGAGGCGCGAAAGUGUGGGGAGCAAACAGGAUUAGAUACCCUGGUAGUCCACACUGUAAACGAUGAAUGCUAGGUGUAGGGGGUAUCGACCCCUUCUGUGCCGCAGUCAACACAAUAAGCAUUCCGCCUGGGGAGUACGGCCGCAAGGUUGCAACUCAAAGGAAUUGACGGA